rnacentral:rRNA from 1 species
GAUGAACGCUGGCGGCGUGCCUAAUACAUGCAAGUCGAGCGAACAGACGAGGAGCUUGCUCCUCUGACGUUAGCGGCGGACGGGUGAGUAACACGUGGAUAACCUACCUAUAAGACUGGGAUAACUUCGGGAAACCGGAGCUAAUACCGGAUAAUAUAUUGAACCGCAUGGUUCAAUAGUGAAAGACGGUUUUGCUGUCACUUAUAGAUGGAUCCCGGCCGCAUUAGCUAGUUGGUAAGGUAACGGCUUACCAAGGCAACGAUGCGUAGCCGACCUGAGAGGGUGGUCGGCCGCACUGGAACUGAGCCACGGUCCAGACUCCUAAGGGAGGCAGCAGUAGGGAAUCUUCCGCAAUGGGCGAGAGCCUGACGGAGCAACGCCGCGUGAGUGAUGAAGGUCUUCGGAUCGUAAAACUCUGUUAUUAGGGAAGAACAAAUGUGUAAGUAACUAUGCCCGUCUUGACGGUACCUAAUCAGAAAGCCACGGCUAACUACGUG